GUAGACAUAGUUUAACCAAAAACAUUAGAUUGUGAUUCUAAAGACAGGGGUUAAAAUCCCCUUGUCCACC
rnacentral:tRNA from 1 species